AUCCAGCUGACGAGUCCAAAGUAAAACGGAACGAGCGUCCUGGAU
rnacentral:hammerhead_ribozyme from 1 species